rnacentral:rRNA from 1 species
CCCGCACAAGCGGUGGAGCAUGUGGUUUAAUUCGACGCAACGCGAAGAACCUUACCAGCUCUUGACAUGUCAGGUCGGUUUCCAGAGAUGGAUUCCUCCCAGCAAUGGGCCUGAACACAGGUGCUGCAUGGCUGUCGUCAGCUCGUGUCGUGAGAUGUUGGGUUAAGUCCCGCAACGAGCGCAACCCUCGUCUUCAGUUGCCAUCAGGUAGGGCUGGGCACUCUGAAGAAACUGCCGGUGACAAGCCGGAGGAAGGUGGGGAUGACGUCAAGUCCUCAUGGCCCUUACGGGCUGGGCUACACACGUGCUACAAUGGCGGUGACAGUGGGGCGCGAUCCCGCGAGGGUGAGCGAAUCUCAAAAAGCCGUCUCAGUUCGGAUUGCACUCUGCAACUCGAGUGCAUGAAGUCGGAAUCGCUAGUAAUCGCGGAUCAGCACGCCGCGGUGAAUACGUUCCCGGGCCUU